rnacentral:rRNA from 1 species
GAUGAACGCUGGCGGCGUGCCUAAUACAUGCAAGUCGAGCGGACGCACGGGAAGCUUGCUUCUCUGCUGUUAGCGGCGGACGGGUGAGUAACACGUGGAUAACCUACCUAUAAGACUGGGAUAACUUCGGGAAACCAGAUCUAAUACCAGAUCAUAUUUUGAACCGCAUGGAUCAAAAGAGAAUGACGGUCUUGCUGUCACUAUUAGCUGAAUCCGCGCUGCAUUAGCUAGUUGGUAAGGUAACGGCUUACCAAGGCAACGAUGCAUAGCCGACCUGAGAGGGUGAUCAGCCACACUGGAACUGAGACACGGUCCAGACUCCUACGGGAGGCGGCAGUAGGGAAUCUUCCGCAAUGGGCGAAAGCCUGACGGAGCAACGCCGCGUGAGUGAUGAAGGUCUUCGGAUCGUAAAACUCUGUUAUUGGGGAAGAACAGAUGUGUAAGUAACCGUGGAUAUCUUGACGGUACCUAAACAGAAAGCAACGGCUAACUACGUG